rnacentral:rRNA from 1 species
AAAGUUUAACGGCCGCGGUACCCUAACCGUGCAAAGGUAGCAUAAUCACUUGUUCUUUAAAUAAGGACUAGUAUCAACGGCAUCACGAGGGUUACACUGUCUCCUUUCUCCAAUCAGUGAAACUGAUUUUCCCGUGAAGAAGCGGGAAUGAAGUUAUAAGACGAGAAGACCCCAUGGAGCUUUAAGCUCAACAACAACUCUGUAUAAAUAUUUUUUCCUAACUUAUGAGUACUGAUGUUAGCUUUAGGUUGGGGUGACCACGGAGUAUAAUUAAGCCUCCACAACGAACGGUAUUAAACCCUUUAUCCAAGAGCCACUGCUCUAAGAAUCAUUAAAUUGACGUAAAAUGAUCCGAUUUUCGAUCAACGGACCAAGUUACCCUGGGGAUAACAGCGCAAUCCAUUUCAAGAGCCCCUAUCGCCAAAUGGGUUUACGACCUCGAUGUUGGAUCAGGGUAUCCUAGUGGUGC